GAUGAAGAACGUAGCGAAAUGCGAUAAGUAAUGUGAAUUGCAGAAUUCAGUGAAUCAUCUAAUCUUUGAACGCACAUUGCGCCCUCUGGUAUUCCGGGGGGCAUGCCUGUUCGAGCGUCAUUAUAACCACUCAAGCUCUCGCUUGGUAUUGGGGUUCGCGGUUUCGCGGCCCCUAAAAUCAGUGGCGGUGCCUGUCGGCUCUACGCGUAGUAAUACUUCUCGCGAUUGAGUUCGAUAGGUCUACUUGCCAGUAACCCCCAAUUUUUACAGGUUGACCUCGGAUCAGGUAGGGAUACCCGCUGAACUUAAGCAUAUCAAUAAGCGGAGGA
rnacentral:misc_RNA from 1 species